rnacentral:tRNA from 1 species
UAGCUCAGUCGGAUAGAGCGUCUGACUACGAAUCAGAAGGUCGCAGGUUCGAGUCCUG